rfam:Megasphaera genomosp. type_1 str. 28L contig00042, whole genome shotgun sequence.
UUCAGCGGCGAUAGCUGCGGGGAUCCACCUGUUCCCAUGCCGAACACAGCAGUUAAGCCCGUAAACGCCGAAAGUACUUGGGGGGAGGCCCCCCGGGAGGAUAGGAAGUCGCUGAUU